AUUGAACGCUGGCGGCAGGCCUAACACAUGCCAGUCGAGCGGAUGAAGGGAGCUUGCUCCUGGAUUCAGCUGCGGACGGGUGAGUAAUGCCUAGGAAUCUGCCUGGUCGUGGGGGAUAACGUCCGGAAACGGGCGCUAAUACCGCAUACGUCCUGAGGGAGAAAGUGGGGGAUCUUCGGACCUCACGCUAUCAGAUGAGCCUAGGUCGGAUUAGCUAGUUGGUGGGGUAAAGGCCUACCAAGGCGACGAUCCGUAACUGGUCUGAGAGGAUGAUCAGUCACACUGGAACUGAGACACGGUCCAGACUCCUACGGGAGGCAGCAGUGGGGAAUAUUGGACAAUGGGCGAAAGCCUGAUCCAGCCAUGCCGCGUGUGUGAAGAAGGUCUUCGGAUUGUAAAGCACUUUAAGUUGGGAGGAAGAGCAGUAAGUUAAUACCUUGCUGUUUUGACGUUACCAACAGAAUAAGCACCGGCUAACUUCGUG
rnacentral:rRNA from 1 species